UCACUGUUCAGUAUGCCAGUGUGAUCUCCCACGGUUUCGCUGGGGAGAUUUUUGCCGGUGAUAGUUGUAGUAGUGCCACUGAGCAGUUUUGCUGUGUCUGCAGAACAUCAAAAAAAUGCAGUUUAGAUGGGUCAUAAGUGCUAAGGACAUAACUUAUUCCCCUGUAAUUACCUUUUUAGCCCAAUAUUGUACUGGUCUGGUUUGUUUCAACGAUUGCUGGGAAAAGUCUUAAAGGCAUAGUAGGGGUAUACUUUGUAUUAUCACUGCUUUCAGAAAGUCUCCAGUGCAAGUCCAAUUGAUGCAGUGAAUCAAAAUAAAAGAGGAAAAGAAAAAAGAAGGUAAAUCUGUGAAACAACAUCAGAAUGAUGUAAAUGGUUAUUUUAGGGUACAUAAUAAUAGAAGAAGUGGUGUUUGAUCAGGUUCAGAAAUACUUUGUGUAUUUUGAAAUCCCAGUUUUUGGGGAAAAGGUUUGCUAUAGCAGAGAGAAAAAAAAUAUUAUUUAGGAGCUUCACCUUGUGUUAGUAGGGUUAACUUACACAUUCUUAGAUCUCUACUUUUUAUGUAAGAAAAGGAUUGGGGUUAUUUGGAAAUAAAGGUCAUAAUUCUGUGGUGCCUAAAGAGAGCGAAGGUUCAUGAGCAGUUAAACAGCGUGAUGGCUGAAAGGACGUUGGCAGCACUAGCUGUAUUAUAAUAGAGCUUAAUAUCUAGAGUAACCUUCACGUGAACUAUCUUGUUUGAAUCUGAUGCUUUGAAUGGACUGGCAGAAAUGAGGGCUCACUGGAGUGAUCCAGAUUUCUCUAGGACAUAUGCCAAAUGCAAAUUCUGGGGCAGGAAUAUAGGCUGCUUUCUGAGGUCAAACUUGCAAAGCCAUUUAGGCCCAGAUUGAUGAAAGUGCAUGGAAAAUUGGAAAGCUACUAUAAAGUAGUCAGAAGGUUGGAUGGGACUAUCCUUUGUAUAAUUAUGUAAAAAUGGUUUACUGCAUUUUGGUAUAAAUUCUAGUACAGUGAAAUCUGGUCAAAGUUGGGACCUCUGGGGAUGCACCAACAGUGUGAAUCCUUUUAUUCUAUUUCUCUCACAAAUAUGUAUGUGCAUAAUCUAAUUUAUUUGUUACAGCUACAGUGUGUGCCAAGCUUCACAGAAGACACACUGAAGCUUUAUGGAGCACUGAAAAAAGAACAUGAUGCUUUGCUAGGUCACAGAGGAGCCAACCAGAGCAAAUCUAUCAAAAUUACUCUGACAGAUGGGAAAAUGGCUGAAGGGGAAUCUUGUGGGGAAAACCACACCAUUUCAGUUAGCUGUAGGACUUCGGUAACCUGCAGAUUCAAGGAGUUGUACUUUUGCAGUGAUAAAACUGUUACUAUCAUUUGUCUCUUACCUUGUUGUGUAAAAUAUAUGUCAUGGUCAGUGGAUGAUGACUCUUAAAUUGGUUCAUUUGGAAAGCAUUGAACCUUCAGCUUAAUGCAUAAUAAACAGCUGGUUGAGGUUACUGUUCUGAGUGAUGCUUGAGGUUCUGUGCUAGGAUCAUAAUGCUUGCUUCCAAUUAAAAAGUAAAUCAGUCAGACUGCUAGGAAUUAAUAGAGACAUUGGAAGUUUUGUGAGUUACCAGAUACAGUAGAACUUAUUGUAAGAAGCAGUCUUUCCUCCAGAUCCCCGGCACUGAAAACCAUUAAAUGAAACUUCUCAAGACCUUAAGGUUCUUUACCUUUAAAGUGGAAAAGUGUUUAAGACCACCACAGAAACAAAAAUUUAAGGUAUUCAGGUGCUACGAGAUGUGGCUGUGGUCUCAUGGGGUUUAGAAACCUAAGGUCUUUUACAAGUCUGAACCUAAAUGUUCAGGUCUCUUGUCGUCCGUUCUGGUUUUUUAGUCAAGUGUUGGCUUCAAAUGCUGUCAUAGCCAAAGCGGAUGGUGAACUGUGGGACCUGUAUUGUCCACUGGAGGGAGAUUGUACUCUGAAGCUGCUGACCUUUGAUAAAGAAGAAGCAAAAGCUGUUUAUUGACAUUCAAGUGCUCACAUUCUUGGAGAGGCCAUGGAAGGAUAUUUUGGGGGCUGCUUAUGCUAUGGACCAUCAACUGAGAAUGGAUUUUAUUUUGACAUAUAUAUUGAAGAGGUGUAUCUAGUACUGAACUCCCACUACUAGAGAACCGCUGUAAAAAUAUCAUAAAAGAGAAACAGGCUUUUGAAAGGCUGGAAGUCAACAAGGAGACCCUGUUAGACAUGUUUAAGUAUAACAACUUUUAACUGUCACAUCCCUAAUGAGAAGAUGAAGACACCAACUACCACAAUAUACAGGUUUUUUUUAUUUUUAUUCUUCUGGAUCCCUUUCCCCAC